GAUGAACGCUGGCGGCGUGCCUAAUACAUGCAAGUCGAGCGAACAGACGAGGAGCUUGCUCCUCUGACGUUAGCGGCGGACGAGUGAGUAACACGUGUAUAACCUACCUAUAAGACUGGGAUAACUUCGGGAAACCGGAGCUAAUACCGGAUAAUCUAUUGAACCGCAUGGUUCAAUAGUGAAAGACGGUUUUGCUGUCACUUAUAGAUGGAUCCGCGCCGCAUUAGCUAGUUGGUAAGGUAACGGCUUACCAAGGCAACGAUGCGUAGCCGACCUGAGAGGGUGAUCGGCCACACUGGAACUGAGACACGGUCCAGUCUCAUACGGGAGGCAGCAGGAGGGAAUCUUCCGCAAUGGGCGAAAGCCUGACGGAGCAACGCCGCGUGAGUGAUGAAGGUCGUCGGAUCGUAAAACUCUGUUAUUAGGGAAGAACAAAUGUGUAAGUAACUAUGCACGUCUUGACGGUACCUAAUCAGAAAGCCACGGCUAACUACGUG
rnacentral:rRNA from 1 species